CCUACGGGAGGCAGCAGUGGGGAAUUUUGGACAAUGGGCGCAAGCCUGAUCCAGCAAUGCCGCGUGAGUGAAGAAGGCCUUCGGGUUGUAAAGCUCUUUUGUCAGGGAAGAAACGGCUGAGGCUAAUAUCCUCGGCUAAUGACGGUACCUGAAGAAUAAGCACCGGCUAACUACGUGCCAGCAGCCGCGGUAAUACGUAGGGUGCAAGCGUUAAUCGGAAUUACUGGGCGUAAAGCGUGCGCAGGCGGUUUUGUAAGUCUGUCGUGAAAGCCCCGGGCUUAACCUGGGAAUUGCGAUGGAGACUGCAAGGCUUGAAUCUGGCAGAGGGGGGUAGAAUUCCACGUGUAGCAGUGAAAUGCGUAGAGAUGUGGAGGAACACCGAUGGCGAAGGCAGCCCCCUGGGUCAAGAUUGACGCUCAUGCACGAAAGCGUGGGGAGCAAACAGGAUUAGAUACCCUGGUAGUCCACGCCCUAAACGAUGUCUACUAGUUGUCGGGUCUUAAUUGACUUGGUAACGCAGCUAACGCGUGAAGUAGACCGCCUGGGGAAGUACGGUCGCAAGAUUAAAACUUCAAAGGAAUUGACGG
rnacentral:rRNA from 1 species